GUGUCCUACGGGGGGCAGCAGUGGGGAAUAUUGGACAAUGGGGGGAACCCUGAUCCAGCGACGCCGCGUGAGUGAAGAAGUAUUUCGGUAUGUAAAGCUCUAUCAGCAGGGAAGAAAGAAAUGACGGUACCUGACUAAGAAGCCCCGGCUAACUACGUGCCAGCAGCCGCGGUAAUACGUAGGGGGCAAGCGUUAUCCGGAUUUAUUGGGUGUAAAGGGUGCGUAGACGGAGAAACAAGUUGGUUGUGAAAUCCCUCGGCUCAACUGAGGAACUGCAACCAAAACUAUUUCCCUUGAGUGUCGGG
rnacentral:rRNA from 1 species